AUCUGCAUCGCCACAGCCCUGCGCCUCAUACUGUUCCAGAGAAAUCGCUGAAGAGUAAUCAACAAACAUGAUCAAGACCAGAACGAUAGCUAUAAACACCCAUUCGUACUUUGUGAAGUAGCAAAAAAUAGAUUCUUUGAUGAAUAGAAAGUUCAAAAGAACACAAAUAGAAAACUUUUGUAACAUUACACACUGUUCAAAGGUUUGGGGUGUAUUUGAAGGCUGUUCUGAAGUAAACUGACCGUUCUCAUGGUGAGGGUACUCGGUUCCUGCAACAGUGCAGCAGCGGAACAGCAUGCGGUUCUCUGUGAGGGUUCCUGUCUUGUCGGAGAACAGCUUCACAAUCUCUAUCGACACAUAGAGGGAGAUGGGAAUCAGCACCUACAACACGGAAAAAAAGAAACGAGGGCAGCAAUGAGAGAUAUUCUAGGUGCAUACUUCAACACCUUUUAAGAAGAAAUGACAGAAUUGGGAAAUUAUGCAAGCCAGACUCAAACCUGCAGCAAACUAUCAUGAAAUUUGACAUACGCAAAUUUACUAAUGAUUUAGCGAAAACUUUACCAUUAGAUAAUGGAUGUGACAUGCAUGUGUUUGUGUAGAUGUCAGAUGCGUCCGCUCACUGUCACUCACCUGCAGAACAAUGAUCAUGGUCCAAAACAUGUAAAAGGCAGCGAGCGCAGGGUGCGUGUCAUCAGGAAUCAUGAAGAUAGUAUUCUGUAGUCCAUUCAACCAAACACCAUGACCUAUACAUCAAAACCACAUUUUUUAUUAAACACACAAAAAUAACACUAACCUUGUACUAGAGCUGCAAAAUUAAAGUGUGUUUGUCAUUGAAUCAUUCAUUUAAGAGAUUCAUUCAAAAAACGCUGAUUCAUCCAAGUACUGAAACAAGUCUUUAUAAGUGAGUCAAUGAAUCAUUCAUUCAAACCCAUUUAAAGGGGGCC